rnacentral:rRNA from 1 species
GACGAACGCUGGCGGCGUGCUUAACACAUGCAAGUCGAACGGAAAGGCCCUGCUUUUGUGCGGUGCUCGAGUGGCGAACGGGUGAGUAACACGUGAGUAACCUGUACUUGACUUUGGGAUAACUUCAGGAAACUGGGGCUCUUACCGGAUAGGAGCUCUUGCUGCAUGGUGGGCGUUGGAAAGUUUCGGCGGUUGGGGCUGGACUGGCGGCUUAUCAGCUUGUUGGUGGGGUAGUGGAUUACCAAGGCUUUGAAGGGUAGCCGGCCUGAGAGGGGGACCGGCCACAAUGCGCCUGAGGUACGGCCCAGACUCGUACCGGAGGCAACGGUGGAGAAUAUUGCACAACGGGCGGAAGCCAGAUGCGGCAACGCCGCGUGCGGGAUGACGGCCUUCGGGUUGUAAACCACUUUCGCCUUUGACGAGGCGUGAGUGACGGUAAUGGGUAAAGAAGCACCGACUAACUACGUG